rnacentral:rRNA from 1 species
CAGCCGCCGCGGGAAUACGGAGGGGGCUAGCGUUGUUCGGAAUUACUGGGCGUAAAGCGCACGUAGGCGGCUUGGUAAGUUAGAGGUGAAAGCCCGGAGCUCAACUCCGGAAUUGCCUUUAAGACUGCCGAGCUAGCAGGUGAGAGAGGUAAGUGGAAUUCCGAGUGUAGAGGUGAAAUUCGUAGAUAUUCGGAAGAACACCAGUGGCGAAGGCGACUGACUGGACAAGUAUUGACGCUGAGGUGCGAAAGCGUGGGGAGCAAACAGGAUUAGAUACCCGUGUAGUCCCUGUCUCUUAUAC